CCAUGGUUCAUUUUGCAUAACAUAAAUCCCUGCAUAUUUUAUAUAAACUAUACCAUUCAGUACUCCAUUAUUACAUCCAUCAAAACUUACAUACACGGUUGAAUUUAUCUCAUUGCUGUCAACGUUUUCAAGUGUACACAGUCCGCCCCCCCCCAUAUAUUCAAUAAACAUUUUCCAAUCUUCUUUAAACAUACGUUCUUCUUGUUCUCUUAUUCUAUAUGUUGAUAGAUACAUGUUUUAAGCAGAUCAGUGAAUCUUCCAAGGGCUCCGUGGUAGAGUUGCUGCUCUGCAUGCAGCCCCCAGGUGGGGCUGGAAGAGACCAUGGAGAGGUGCUGCCAGUACUGAACUCGAUGGGCCAGUGGUCCGACUUGAUGCGAGUCACUGUCCUAUGUUCCUGUCUUAAGAGUGUAAACAAGAAGAGGACCCACUCCCGUGCCCUUAAGGAGGGUUUUGCUCAGGGAGCCGGCUUUAGGCAACAGGAGGAACCUCACACCCCCUUCCUUUGAAUCAGGAAGCCCCCUCCCCCUUUCUUUACCAGGGACCCAAGCAAGGACCACCCCCCACCACCCCAAUUCUCCUCCUUACCCGUUAUUUCAUGGCGAGACAUGGGCAGAGUCCCAGUGCCAACAUCCAGGGGGAGUUUGGAGUCCCAGCAGGGUCAGGUGUGCUGUGAGGAAGCACCCCCCCCCAGGACUGCUGAAGAUGGAGCGAGAAGGAAUGCAGAAAGCUGUCGCGGAGGGAAGGAGGAGCAUGUCAGGUGGCAAGACAGGUUUGACGGCAGUGGAUUCCCCAGGCGCAAGAGGAGGCUUCGCUCUUGGCCAGGGCUCCGGAGCCAAAGGCUGGGAGGGCAGGAACAGGUUGCAGCAGAAAGGUUCCUGAGAUCCAGGAGAAUGGAAAAUAGGGUUGCUAUGUUUUCUGGAUGAGGAGGGCCCUGGGAAUCCAAGGAGCUGGUAGGACUGAGGUGAAACUGCAGCUCCCUUGUUAUUUUUGCUGUUGGGUGUUGAUGUAAUGGUGUAACAGCGUUGGAAUGUUGUUCUAUUUCUUCUUGUGUUGUUUUAUUCCAUUAUAAUGACAUUGCUUUCUGCAUUGCUUGAUUUUGAAAUGCAUUUUUUGGGGUUGUAAGCCGCUUUGAGCAAUGAUGUGUGUAGUAAAGUGGCAUACAAGUAAAUUUAUGAAUGAA